GCCAAGCUGCAUAAAGAGAAACAACAAAAAGAGUCGGAAGAAAAGAAAAAGGAACAAGAAGGAAAAGAAGAGGACAAGGCUUCAUCUUCAUCAUCUUCCUAUUAUUC
rnacentral:ribozyme from 17 species